rnacentral:rRNA from 1 species
UUAUGGCUCAGGAUGAACGCUGGCGGCGUGCCUAACACAUGCAAGUCGAACGGGGUUAAGGGAAAUUUCGGAUGGAACUUAGCUUAGUGGCGGACGGGUGAGUAACGCGUGGAUAACCUGCCUCACACAGGGGGAUAGCAGCUGGAAACGGCUGGUAAUACCGCAUAAGACCACGGAGCCGCAUGGCUCUGGGGUAAAAGAUUUAUCGGUGUGAGAUGGAUCCGCGUCUGAUUAGCCAGUUGGCGGGUAACGGCCCACCAAAGCGACGAUCAGUAGCCGGCCUGAGAGGGUGAACGGCCACAUUGGGACUGAGACACGGCCCAAACUCCUACGGGAGGCAGCAGUGGGGAAUAUUGCACAAUGGGCGCAAGCCUGAUGCAGCAACGCCCGCGUGAGUGAAGAAGUAUUUCGGUAUGUAAAGCUCUAUCGGCAGGGAAGAAAGGCCCGAAAGGGAGAUGACGGUACCUGACUAAGAAGCCCCGGCUAACUACGUGCCAGCAGCCGC